GUACACGCUGUGACUAGCAUAUCAAUAAGCGGAGGAAAAGUACCUACGCUUAGGAUGUUGACGCGCGUGUGUGCGUGACUCUAUACAUGACUCUGUGCAUAUCAAUAAGCGGAGGAAAAGAAACUAACAAGGAUUCCCCUAGUAACGGCGAGUGAAGCGGGAAGAGCUCAGAUUUGAAAUCUUAAAGGGUUUCCCUUUACGAAUUGUAGUUUAAAGAAGUGUUUUCUGUUGAGGUUUUGGUAAAAGUUCUUUGGAAUAGGACAUCAUAGAGGGUGAGAAUCCCGUAUUUGACCUUUACUUUCAACUUUGUGAUACACUUUCAAAGAGUCGGAUUGUUUGGGAAUGCAGUCCAAAGUGGGUGGUAAAUUUCAUCUAAAGCUAAAUAUUGGCGAGAGACCGAUAGCGAACAAGUACCGUGAGGGAAAGAUGAAAAGAACUUUGAAAAGAGAGUUAAACAGUACGUGAAAUUGUCAAAAGGGAAGCGUUUGACACCAGUGUUGUUUUUCUGAAAAUCAAUUAAAGAACUGUUUAUGCUAAGCUGUUUAGACUUUAUCAGCUAACUGUUUAGUUUUGAGCUUUUCUUUAAUGCACUUUUCAGUUAACAAGUCAACAUCAAUUUCUUUUGCUGUAAAAAAGCUUGAGGAAGGUGGCUUGAGAUUCGUCUUAAGUGUUUAUAGCCUCUUGCCUAUGCAGUCGGAGAGAUUGAGGUCUGCAGCGUAGAUCCUUCGGGGCUAAAUGCAUUUGUGCUAAGUUAUAGCAUUUUAUAGACAACUUGUUGACUAUGAUUUGUCUUGUAGCUUACUCGCUUAUGUUAUUUUACCUACGCUUAGGAUGUUGAUCUACAGAGCGAGAGU
rnacentral:rRNA from 1 species